GCCGCUCCCGCGGCAUAUGGAGGUUCCCAGGCUAGGGGGUCGAAUCAGAGCUGUAGUCUCCGGCCUACGCCAGAGCCACAGCAACGCGGGAUCCGAGCCGCGUCUGCAACCUACUCCACAGCUCACGGCAACGCCGGAUCGUUAACCCACUGAGCAAGGGCAGGGACCGAACCCGCAACCUCAUGGUUCCUAGUCGGAUUCGUUAACCACUGCGCCACGACGGGAACUCCGGCAGAGCAGAAACUUGAGAACAGGUCUUGCAGAUGACAAAAGCCAUGUUCAAUUAAGUGCUUGUCAAGUACUCAGGCUUUUGAGCUCUAGAUGGCUCACAAAGUGAACAGCCCUUUAGGAACAGGACCUUCAGGGCAGCCCAGUGAAUUUAAAAUGUCUCAUCUCCCCACAGGUGUCCAGGUAUUGUGUAUCUAAUCCAGGCUGGGCUCCCCAGGGGGGCCUGCUGAAAAAAGUCUCUGCACUCAUUAAAUGCCCACUGGGAGUGCUGCCCAGUGCUCCCCAGGACCCAUAGGCUUGCCAAGGCUGUCAACAGAUUAACCACAUUCAUACUAGAUAAAUACAAGGGUCCUGACUGGUUGGAUUGUCUUUGUUUCCUUGCCCAUAUGAUGCCAAGUCAGGAUGGGUUGGUACUAUUUCAGUGCUUUUUGUCAAAGCUGAGCUGUAGUCUUCUCACCCCCAAACACUUUAUCACUCUGCUGGAGGUUGGUGGAGUCUUUUUUGUCUCUGUACAUGGGUUUCCCUCCAUACUCUGUUCUUCUCCAUCACCGUUCUGAGGAUUAUGUAUCUGACUUACAGGGGAGGAGCAAAAAGAGGUACAGAGAAAAUAACAUGCUCCUUUGUUUCUCAAAAAAAGAAUACCAACUCAGAACCACCCUUCUUAGUAUCAAUACAGCCCUGUCACUUGGCCAAACAGAAGAGGCAGUGGGAGAUGGAUUUUACAUGCAAGAGGCCUAGUUUAAGGACCUAUGACUAAAUAGUACUACAGAGCCAGGACAUAAAACUAGACCACCAGGAUUACAAAUAUGUGGCCAAAGCAGACAUUGCUGAUCAAUCACAGCACUCCUCUGAAACAGGAUCUGGCCUUUCCAAUGUUCCUCAAGACAGUGCUCUUGGCAGCCAUUACCAAUCAAUCAGAGCACACAUAAUAAAUCUUAUUUUUAAGUAUGAACUAGUCUUUGGUCUUCUUAUGAGCAGGGAUUCCACCUUAUGAAGGUAUUUACCUCCACAUAACAUAAUCUAACACGAUGUAAUCUUGAUAGCCUUCAAUGUUUGUUGAACACAUAAAUGAGUGAAAUAAUGAUUUAAAGUUGCUAUUUUGACAGAUAUGACUCAGUCCUCUUCUAGGUAAUCUAUCUUCCUUUGGCUGAGAUGGGGAAAUUUUCUAGGUACCAAAUUUGUGCUUUGUUCACAUGUUCCUCUCAUGCUGCUUGAGCUGUACAAUUUUCUACACUGCUCCCCAAAGUAGGGAUCUGUACCCUCUAUCAUAAAAAUCAAACAAGAAUCCAUUUAACUCAAGUCAUUAGACCCAUUAGAAUAACAGACACUGUGAUGGAUUUUCUCAGCCUCUGAUGACUAAGUCAUUGUUCCCAAGCCAAGGUUCUCUGCUUGACUUGUUCAUCCCUUGGGACAAAUUCUCUCCUGGGAGGCAUCUUAUGCAAAUAGCCUUCUAAGCGAACUGGCCCAUCAGCUUCUCAGAGUUUCCUAGUCAUGACUGAGUUCCCAGAGUGUAGACACAGCUUAUACCUAGUCUAUUAUUUUCUUUCUUUACCUCUACGUGUGGGAGACAUGUGUAGCAGCUAGCUAUUGCAACAUAAAAAACUAUCCCAAUAUUUAAUGGCUUGAAGUAACAAAUAUUCCUUGCUGCUCACAUGUCUACAGGUCAGCUGGGUAGUUCUGCUGCUUGGCAUUGGGCUUGGCUGAUGUAGGCAUGGCUCACUUGUAUACCUAUGUCCAAUUUGUUAAGUGACUGGGAUCGCUCAUCUAGGGUGGCCUUGGCUGGAUGAUCUGGCUCUCUUCCAAGUGUCUCUGACUUACUUCCAGCAGACUAGCCUCGACAUACUCUCCUGAGGAUGCCCAUGGCCAAUCAGGGAUAAACAGAAGUAUAGCUUUUAGACAAGAAGAGAAUGUAGCCUUCACUAGUGGGAAACAUUUGAAACAGUGCCUGGGUGUGCCACUGAUGCCCUUAUAUGAUGGGAAAAGUUUCAAAUCAGUGACAUGACUUCAGAAGGAUAUCUUGAGUUCCAAGGCCUCUAUAAAAAAUGUUCUCUGGUGGUGAGUAGGCUUUGGCCUUGGUCCUUCUGCGAGGUUUUCAUCAAGGAACUCAGUUGUUGAAACAAAAAUGAAGACAUCCCUGCAUAGUCUAAGCUGCCUUUAAGGUCCACAGUCACUUCCUCUCUUUGUCCUGAAAGUACUUCCUUUGUAUGUACUUUCAUACAAUGAUACAGACAACUGGCUUUCUAUCAUUCCCCGUCUUUUGGCUCCAGUACCAAGCUUGGCUAGCUCGAGGUGGGCAUUCCUCCACUUGCUUGGAUUUCUACAGCAGCUAUCACCAUCAAGUGGUUUUGAUGCUAUGGGUGUCGAGAUCUGGAAGAAUCUGCUUCCAGAAGAUCAUUUCCUAUCUGGUUCAGAAAACACUUAGAAAGCCCACUGAUCAUGUCUUUCUAGAGUUUUAAUUCCCUUCACUGUCAUUACGAAAUAGUUGAGUUCUAUUGAAGAUUAGAUCAUCUUCAUGGGAUAGGCUGAAUGGCCCUGCAAGGAUGACUGAACGUAGUGAGACUGCAAAUUAGCAAUCACCUUUUGUAUGUCAUCUCAAAUGCAGAGAUCUGAGAAACGCAAUUCUUUCUCAGGUUUUUCAUUUUUUGGCAAGGUUCCUACUUCAUGGAUGAGAAGCAAGAUUUUAAAGUUUUCCGCUCCUUGAGUGAAUAGGCACAUGACAAAAACCUUAUUCCUAAUUUCCUGUACCCAUGAACAAAAUAUGAGCUAAUUCUAGUCAUCUUUCCUAUUAAUCCUGGAUGUCAAUUUAUAACCCUUCUCUAUACAACACUCCAGGUAAUCGCUCCAACUGAUUGGCACCAAUAACGAAAGUGAAAAAGAUUUAGCACCCCGGAUAAGAAGGGACCAAAGAUUCCAAGGUAGAAAUAAUGUGACCUUCUUUGGAAAUUGGGUUAUGGCAAAUGUAAUUAGUUAGCAUGAGAUUAUACAGUUAAAAUGAGGUUAUUCUGUGGUGUAUGACCUAACCCUAUAAGAUUAGUGUCCUUAUUUAAAAAAAAAAAAAUCGGAUAGAGAUGCACCAGAGAGAACAAGAAGACAGAGCUGUCUAAGGCAAGGAAUGUCAAAUAUUGUGGGAAAACCACCAGAAACUAAGGAAAAGACAUGGAACUGGCCACCACAGCCCUCAGAAGGCACCAACCUGCUAACACCUUAAUCUCAGCCUUUCAGCCUCCAGACUGUGAGACAAUACACAUCUAUUAUUUAAGACUACUCAAUUUGUGGCAUGUUGUUACAGCAGACCUAGAAAACUAACACAAGGUCAGAAAGAGUCUUGCCUGUGGAGAGCAGAUCAUUUCUAGGACAGUCAAAGAGUCAGGCAAUCUUAGAACAGAAAGGCAACUUGGAGACCAGAAAGACAACUUCUCUCCCCUCUAGGCCACAAGCUGAUUUUACAAAUAAAGAAACCAAAGUCCAGAGAAGUUCCAAGACAUGACUCAAUCACAGAGGCAGCUGGGCAGACUUGAGAUAUAAUAUUAGGGUUUAUAUCUGUCACUUCCCCAUGCCCAAUUUCCAUGCACGCUUUAGUCAUUUGCUUACACAUGUAUCUCCUCUAAUUUACCAGGACACCUUGAAAGCCGGGUCUAUAGGCUUGGAAUCCAGCAUGGUGCUUCCCACAUAGCAAGUCCUCAAUAAUAUAUGCUAAUAGCUCCCGUUUCCAGGGUCUUCCAUGCAGUAACCUCCACACUGACCCAAGAAAUGGUACUUUUCCAAAAGCAAUUCCUGUGCUUAGAGAGAGAACAGAAAGCCAGGCUCUCAAUGUGUCAAGCUGCGGACAGCAACUCCCAAAGGCCUGUAAGUGAUCAAGUCCAUCCACAGUGAGUCUGGGCCAAACAGCCUUCUGCUGACAGUAAUGGUGGUCCUGCUGGAAUAAGCCACAAAGAAAGGCCUACCAGACGCCCAUGAGCUCUUGGCCACUUCCCUUCAGCAGCUACAGAUUUAUCUCUCUUCCCCAGCUUGAGGGUCUUCUGUGCUUCCUAGAGGCAGGGACUAUCUAAUUUAUCUGUACAUCCUCAAUGUUGCCCAGGGUUCCGCACAUAUGGUGGCAGAUGCCCAGCGAAUAUGUAUCAGCUUGGAUCAACCUCCUCUGCCAUUGCCUGGCUGCUGAGCCCAAGGAGAAGAAAAUUUACAAGGUGUUAUUUUGCUAAAAAUAUGCCUCUGAGGGGAACCUCAUGCCUUGUUAUUUGUAACUCUUCCUUUCCAAAGCUGGAAGAGCUGUUGAAAGAAAGCAUCAUCAAAAUGAUACUUUUCAACACUUAAAAUGUCUGCCUGAGUUUGGAGAACAAAGCCUCAGUCAGUUUCGGCAGGAAGAUCUCCCACAAGGCACAUUUAUGAUGUAAAUUUUACAUUGUGCUUGGUUUCCCAUAAUAAAUGAAAGCUUAACAAAGCUUAAGAUGUGGAAUACAUCUUAAAAUAGUAAAUUCCCAAAGAUCAUGAUAUUUUUGAGUGUAUCAAAUACAUCAAAUAUAUUAAAUACAUUUAAGGGGGUGAGUCAUAGCACUCACAUCUUACUUCCAUAAUCAAUUUCGGUAUUUUUAUGGUUGAGAUGGGUUCUGAGGAACAGAACACAAUUUGUUUUUUCAUUGAACUGAUAGAAAAGCAGGGUUGGCUUUCACAGGCUUUAUUCAUGAUAGCUGUUCAAGAUCUGCUUUGACUGAAAGGAGGGAGUUGCUGGAGUGUGUUUGGUCUGGUCCCGCAGUGGUGGGGCUCAAGUACAAAAAUAAAAAUGCAGCUGGGGAGUUCCCAUUGCGGUUCAGGGGAAAAAACGAAUCUGACUAGCAUCCAUGAGGAUACAGGUUCG
rnacentral:lncRNA from 1 species